ensembl:ncRNA B0478.25 ncRNA
CGAUGGGGUUGGUUGCGAGGGUCUCAGUGGUGGUUGUGUGUCUCCGGAGCUCUCCGGAGCAGUGGCGGCGGUCCUUCUCUACGUCUCCGUCGUCUUUCCGUCGUCAUUCUGUGCAAAACGGGGCCGCGCCUUUCCUAU